rnacentral:lncRNA from 1 species
ACAAAAAAACAGAGUAAAUUUAGUAGACAAGAUUUGAUCGAGCCCGAAAAUUAUAUAGCAUUCGAUGGUUGAGAGAACAUUUAACUUCCUAAACAAAUUACCCCAAAACCAGUGAGACACUCUCCAACCAUAUCAGUUCUCCUCCAAACAAGCAACAGAAGACAUACGAAAUAAGUUUUAGACAUACGACAGACUACGAGAAAACGUUUAAAAAAAAACGAACUGCAAACUACUAUUUAUCAUAAGAUUCGAGGAACUUAGUCGACCUCCUCCAUCUUGCUCUCCUCGUUGGCAUCAUCCUCGAGUGGAGGCAUCUCAGCAUCAUCAGCAACAGUCUCAUCCUCGUCAAUGCUGAGACCAAGCUUCAACAUCCUGUGGAUUCUGCUGGCGAAGGUGUUG